rnacentral:lncRNA from 1 species
AUAACAUAUGCCAUUGAGAAUGGAGAUCCUCAGAGAGUUUUUAAUCUUUCAGAAACCACGGGGAUUCUAACCUUAGGGAAAGCACUGGACAGGGAAAGCACUGAUCGCUACAUUCUGAUCAUCACAGCUUCAGAUGGCAGGCCAGAUGGGACCUCAACUGCCACAGUAAACAUAGUGGUGACAGAUGUCAAUGACAAUGCUCCAGUGUUUGAUCCUUAUCUGCCAAGAAAUUUAUCUGUGGUGGAAGAAGAAGCCAAUGCCUUUGUGGGUCAAGUAAAAGCUCAUAGACGGAAGGAACUAGCUGUGUCUGAG